GAUCAGCAGUUUCACCAUUCCUUGCAAUUCUGAAGAUGGGUCCUUGUCAGGUCCACGAGGACUUGACGAAUAACUAAGGUUUUGUCGAUAUAGGCUACAACUGGACCCUCAAAUAUGUGUGACAAGAACUUCAUUGAUGAAAACAAAACCUUUAUCAAUUGAGAGAAAAAUACCUGUAUAGCCACUAACCUAGCCAGCCAGAAAUUCUAUAUCGUAUAGGGGGAAAGCAUAUUUCCAUACAUUCGGUGAUGAGGGUCGGAUUUUCAUCAAGCGAUUUCCUACAACUUCCUUUGGCACAAAGAGCAAGCAUUCUGUUCUCAUCUACAAAGUUUUUGCACUUAAGCCAGCAGUAAACCAGCAAACUACUCUGAUCCUUCCCCCAAACAGAACUUGCAGAAGAGGUACCUAUCUGCCUUUACAUACCCACAUAGAAGCCACCGAAGGAGAUGGAAGCCCUCCUAGGCCAGCCAGAGCAAAGGUAGCAUGCU